CUAGCAGUGCAAUAAUGAAAGGGCAUCAG
rnacentral:miRNA from 1 species